GACAGAGGGGGCAAGCGUUGCUCGGAAUUACUGGGCGUAAAGGGCGCGUAGGCGGGAUGGCAAGUCGGUCGUGAAAUCCCUCGGCUCAACUGAGGAUCGUCGAUCGAUACUGCCGUUCUUGAGGAUUGCAGAGGAGACUGGAAUUCCCGGUGUAGCGGUGAAAUGUGUAGAGAUCGGGAGGAACACCGGUGGCGAAGGCGGGGUCUGCUGGGCAAUUCCUGACGCUGAGGCGCGAAAGCGUGGGGAGCGAACAGGAUUGAGAAACCCCCUGUAGU
rnacentral:rRNA from 1 species